rnacentral:rRNA from 1 species
AUUGAACGCUGGCGGCAGGCCUAACACAUGCAAGUCGAGCGGUAGAAGGGAGCUUGCUUCCUUUGAGAGCGGCGGACGGGUGAGUAAUGCCUAGGAAUCUGCCUGGUAGUGGGGGAUAACGUUCGGAAACGGACGCUAAUACCGCAUACGUCCUACGGGAGAAAGUGGGGGAUCUUCGGACCUCACGCUAUCAGAUGAGCCUAGGUCGGAUUAGCUAGUUGGUGAGGUAAUGGCUCACCAAGGCGACGAUCCGUAACUGGUCUGAGAGGAUGAUCAGUCACACUGGAACUGAGACACGGUCCAGACUCCUACGGGAGGCAGCAGUGGGGAAUAUUGGACAAUGGGCGCAAGCCUGAUCCAGCCAUGCCGCGUGUGUGAAGAAGGUCUUCGGAUUGUAAAGCACUUUAAGUUGGGAGGAAGGGUAGUAGCUUAAUACGUUGCUACUUUGACGUUACCGACAGAAUAAGCACCGGCUAACUCUGUGCCAGCAGCCG